GGACGAACGCUGGCGGCGUGCCUAACACAUGCAAGUCGAGCGGAGUCGGUAAGAGGAAGUUUCGGAUGGAAUCUUAUUGAUUUAGCGGCGGACGGGUGAGUAACGCGUGAGCGACCAACCUUGCACAGGGGGAUAACGGACCGAAAGGUUCACUAAUACCGCAUGAGACCGACGGUGUUGCAUGACACAGAGGUCAAAGGAGCAAUCCGGUGCAAGACGGGCUCGCGUCCGAUUAGGUAGUUGGAGGGUAGCGGCCCACCAAGCCUAUGAUCGGUAGCCGACCUGAGAGUGUGAUCGGCCACAUUGGAACUGAGAUACGGUCCAAACUCCUACGGGAGGCAGCAGUGGGGAAUAUUGGGCAAAUGGGGGAAACCCUGACCCAGCAACGCCGCGUGAAGGAAGAAGGUUUUCGGAUUGUAAACUUCUGUCCUUGGUGAAGAGAAGAAGACGGUAGCCAAGGAGGAAGCCCCGGCUAACUACGUGCCAGCCGCAGC
rnacentral:rRNA from 1 species